AUUGACUAAGGUUUCCAGAGGAAGGCUCGUCCGCUCUGGGUUAGUCGGGUCCUAAGCUGAGGCCGACAGGCGUAGGCGAUGGAUAACAGGUUGAUAUUCCUGUACCACCUAUAAUCGUUUUAAUCGAUGGGGGGACGCAGUAGGAUAGGCGAAGCGUGCGAUUGGAUUGCACGUCUAAGCAGUAAGGCUGAGUAUUAGGCAAAUCCGGUACUCGUUAAGGCUGAGCUGUGAUGGGGAGAAGACAUUGUGUCUUCGAGUCGUUGAUUUCACACUGCCGAGAAAAGCCUCUAGAUAGAAAAUAGGUGCCCGUACCGCAAACCGACACAGGUAGUCAAGAUGAGAAUUCUAAGGUGAGCGAGCGAACUCUCGUUAAGGAACUCGGCAAAAUGACCCCGUAACUUCGGGAGAAGGGGUGCUCUUUAGGGUUAACGCCCAG
rnacentral:rRNA from 1 species